rnacentral:miRNA from 1 species
GUGCAUUGUUAGUGCAUUG